CGGCGAUGCGUCGUCGCGGCACCAACCAACGGACGCGAGCUUUGAACAAGAUCGCAAGCGCGGGCCGUUUGACGAGACAGUCGCCGCAGCGGAUACAACACCUCGGUAAGAGUGCCUGGGCGGGCGGCCAGUUACCACAGAAGGGAUGCUGCGCAAGAGCAAGGGCCUGCUAAAAAACAUAGACAGCUGCUCAAGAGACAAGUGGUGGACAGCUUGCUGUGAAAGAUGGAAGCAUUCUUCCUGCAAGUCUGGACAAGGCCAUAUUAAAUGGCUUCAUCUGUCACAAAUCGCUGGCCACGAAUGUAAAGAACACCUUGGCCCCACUUC